rnacentral:rRNA from 1 species
UACAGAGGGUGCAAGCGUUGCUCGGAAUUAUUGGGCGUAAAGGGUAGGUAGGUGGUCUCAUUUGUCUGGGGUGAAAUCCUUGGGCUUAACCCAAGAAGUGCCCCAGAAACGGUGAGACUGGAGUCCUGGAGAGGGUCGUGGAAUUCCCGGUGUAGCGGUGAAAUGCGUAGAGAUCGGGAGGAACACCAGAGGCGAAGGCGGCGACCUGGACAGGUACUGACACUCAACCACGAAAGCGUGGGGAGCAAACAGG